AUUGAACGCUGGCGGCAGGCCUAACACAUGCAAGUCGAACGAGUGGCGGACGGGUGAGUAAUGUCUGGGAAACUGCCUGAUGGAGGGGGAUAACUACUGGAAACGGUAGCUAAUACCGCAUACCAUCGGAUGUGCCCAGCUGGGAUGAGCUAGUAGGUGGGGUAACGGUUCACCUAGUCGACGAUCCCUAUCUGGUCUGAGAGGAUGACCGGCCAGACUGGAACGGAGACAGUGGCCAGACACCUACGGGAGGCAGCAGUGGAGAAUUUUGCACAAUGGGCGCAAGCCUGAUGCAGCCAUGCCGCGUGUAUGAAGAAGGCCUUCGGGUUGUAAAGUACUUUCAGCGGGGAGGCGUUACCCGCAGAAGAAGCACCGGCUAACUCCGUGCCAGCAGCCGCGGUAAUUC
rnacentral:rRNA from 1 species